rnacentral:rRNA from 1 species
GAUGAACGCUAGCUAUAGGCUUAACACAUACAAGUCGAGGGGAAACGGCAUUAUGUGCUUGCACAUUUUGGACGUCGACCGGCGCACGGGUGAGUAUCGCGUAUCCAACCUGCCCUUUACUUGGGGAUACCCCGUUGAAAGACGGCCUAAUACCCGAUGUAAUUCAUUGAUGGCAUCAGAUAUGAAUAAAAGAUUUAUCGGUAAAGGAUGGGGAUGCGUCUGAUUAGCUUGUUGGUGAGGUAACGGCUCACCAAGGCGACGAUCAGUAGGGGUUCUGAGAGGAAGGUCCCCCACAUUGGAACUGAGACACGGUCCAAACUCCUACGGGAGGCAGCAGUGAGGAAUAUUGGUCAAUGGGCGCAAGCCUGAACCAGCCAAGUAGCGUGCAGGAAGACGGCCCUAUGGGUUGUAAACUGCUUUUAUACGAGAAUAAUUUGAUGCACGUGUGCGUUAUGGCAUGUAUCGUAUGAAUAAGGACCGGCUAAUUCCGU